UACGUAGGCAGCAAGCGUUGUUCGGAAUUACUGGGCGUAAAGAGUGUGUAGGCGGUGUUCUAAGUUUGUCGUGAAAUCUCCCGGCUUAACUGGGAGGGUGCGGCGAAAACUGGAAUGCUAGAGGAUGGGAGAGGUAAGCGGAAUUCCUGGUGUAGCGGUGAAAUGCGUAGAUAUCAGGAAGAACACCCGUGGCGAAAGCGGCUCUCUGGAACGGUACUGACGCUGAGACGCGAAAGCGUGGGGAGCGAACAGG
rnacentral:rRNA from 1 species